ensembl:lncRNA
AAGCAGCUUCUGUGUGCUGGCCAAUCAACUGUAUUGUCUCUCAUCCAGUCCCCUUCAGGGGAUGAUGAAUGAUGUCACCCUCAGUCUGGAUGACUGGCCAAUCCCUGCCCUCCUGGCUCCAGUGCUCUGGGAUACUGCCUAAACAGCAAAGCCCUCCUCUGCUCAAGUGAGCAGGCACAAAAUCUAUCAUUAUUGGUGAAAAAACCUAGACUGACAUCCUGACCACUCGGGGUACUCAGGGGCCAGCUUGCCUGCCAAUGGACCAGACCCAGAGGCCACAACCAGGACCCUUUUGUCCCUGGUCUCCUUUUGACGUGGACAACUGGCCAGAGUGCCCUGACUGGGCUUCCCUGGUGGAGCUGAGGUUAAAGCGUCUGCUUGCAGUAUGGGAGACUUGGGUUUGAUCCCUGGGUCGAGAAGAUCCCCUGGAAAAGGAAAUUUUGCUUUGUCUGGCAACCAUGUGGUUUAGACCUGCUGCCAUUUUGUUAGAACUUGAUUUUCUUUCCCUGUGCCUUGAGACCAGGGCUCUCAGGAACACUUAUCUGACACUAAGGAAAAAGGAAAAAAAAGACUUGAAGCUAGAUCUUGCACUGUGUCUGUCUAAAUAUGUCUUGGUAAUAUUUUUGUAUAUGAGCUCUGUUUAUUUGGCUUAAAAAAGGUAAGCGCUUACAAA